rnacentral:tRNA from 1 species
UGUUUUUUAUAAAAUGGACUUAAAAACAGCAGAAGAAGUUGUAUCAAUCUACGAAUUGAUCGAUC